UCCCCGGUCGUCUAACGGCAGGACAGCGGAUUCUGAUUCCGUCAAUGGAGGUUCAAAUCCUCCCCGGGGAUCCA
rnacentral:tRNA from 3 species